GACCUCAAUGCAGAAGAAAGAGGUGGCAGGCAGCACUUUCUCCCUAAGCUGUGUGGGAGGAGCCAGGUCAAACCUGCAGGCUCAUAGUGACUACUGGUGACCCC